GUUUAAAUUUUGAAUGAGUCCUAGUUUUCAAACCCCCUCUGCUUGAAUAAAUAAGCUGAACAUUUUCGACCAGAAAUCCAAUAAUGAAGAUUUUGCCUCAACCCUUGGGCCAGACUGUAGUGUAGUCAAGCUCAAGUGUUGAGGAAGGUGGUAGGAAGGCAACACUGCAGACGUCUCUUUUCCCAGAACUCUAUGUGGAGGAGAGAAUGGCUUCGGCCACAUCGACAGACCAUGGAAACUACCUGCAGACUGUACAGCUGCUCAUCAAGAAAAACAAGGAAGACCCCUGAUGUGGCUGUGUAUCAGCCACAGUGCAGGACACAGUGAUACCUUGGAUUGGAAUCAAAUAAAAGUCUGCCACACUCGCUCUCUAAUGGUGCUGGCUUGUCUGCAAAAUGU